rnacentral:lncRNA from 1 species
AUGAGGGACAGUAACAAAGAAGGCUCACUGUGUCUCUGCGGGUUCUGGGACCAUUUAUAAAGGCCAGUUCAUUGUGUUACUGUGACUUAACUUGUGAAGUUGCUGCCGUUGAUGACUGACUAUGUGCUCUGAGAAUAUGAAUGUCAGCAACUGUAAUCUCUGGUACCUGAAGGGAAGAUGGGCUUUCUCUCCUUUAACUGCUAAUGUUAUUUUAGUGAAAGUACUCAAGACAUUGUUUUUUUCUUCUGUAAAAAUGGCUUAGCAAUGUUCAUACCUGGGUAGGUUAUACAGCUAGUGAACAAUUCAGGAUAGUAAAUGACAGUUAGAGGAAGCCCACCAAGUAACAGACUCUGCAAUGGACACAUCUUGUACUUAUCAUCCCAUAGUUGAAAGCAGAGAUUUUCUCUAGUGAGCCUACUGUGUGAGGUAUUCCUGCUUAUAAAUGACAGCAGUUCCCUGUUGGCAGGUAAUGUGAUCUAAUGUCCCUCUGUGAGAAGAUUUUGGUUUGAUGAGAAGCAGAUAGUUAUUAGAGAUGGAGUUGGAAAGUGAUUAUUUUAUAUUGCCAAAUAACUGUUUAUAAGAUGAAUCUUUUAAAGUAAAACCAGACUGUCACCUGAAGGUUAGGGAAUCAUCCCUUCUGAGAGUCACACUAAAAACUCUUCCAAAGUUCAUUCUCAGUCCAUCCAUGCUCCCGGUCCACAUGGCAAAGUCAGUUCUGUGUUUAGGAGGGAGCCAUGUUCAGGCAUCCUGAAUAUUUAGUUUCUUUUACACGAAAGAAUAGCUUUCUGUUGGCUUCUUGCAUUGCUUGUUAUAAAUAAGGCAUUAGAGAUGAGUCACUCACACAGAGGUGAACCCCUUACUGUGUGUUCCUUGACCCUGCCCCGCUGUGCGCUGUGCGCUGGCAUCCUGGUCAGCGGCGGGUGGCGUGUGGGCGUCCUCUUCAGUGCCUGUCUGAAAGCAUUGCCUUCUCUAGUGCAGUUCUCAGCAUGGCUGUGCGUUGUUUCACACUGCAGAGUGGGAGUGAGGAUAUUAACACUCAACUCCUUAAUAGGUUUGGAAUUCAUUAUACUUUUAAAAGUAUUUACUUUUUAGUCUCCUUUUUAGACUUAAAAAGAUUAAGUUCUAUACUUUAUCUGACAUGUGUAGGAUAAUCUAAUAAAUGGUUUGUUGAAUGGUCAACACAACUCUGCAGUAUAAUGAGGAGAUUUAGAAACAUCUUUGAAAGAUAAUUUAAUUGGAGUGAGUGUUCUCUCGUAUUUUUUUUUCUUUACUGCUACCCACAUUGUUCUAUGGAUUCUUCAUGUCAAGAGUACUUCAUGGGAGACAGUCAUUCAUGAAAAGACAUAUUUUUCCCCCUUUCAACAAAUAAAAAAAUAACUGACUUCUUCCCUGAAAUUCAGAAA